GGCAGUGGUGGCUCAGUGGUUAAGGCUCUGGGUUACUGAACAGAAGGCUGGGGGUUCAAGUCCCAGCACCGCCA